GGAGUAGAUCCAUAGUCUACUGAAACUGGUCAGUAACUUGUAAUCAUUAGUGUUUGGAAAUACGCUUCUUUCGUCUCAAGAUCUUUGUAUGCCUUUUAAUCACUCUUCUAGAAAGUCCAAGUAUGGUGCUGUAUUGUGAACCUCAUAACAUCCAGCAGCUACCCUAGUUCAGUGGGUGAAAUUCAAGGUUAGAGGACUGUUUGGAAUUCAGAGGAACAUGGAGUAAGAGAAGAAGGAUUUGC